ACAAAAGAGCUUACUUCCAAGGUAUUGGCAUUUGUUUCUCCACAUGGUCAUUUGCGUUGAGUUUAGCUUCAUGUACAUUAGGAUACUUUUUAGCCUGUUUUGAAAUUUUAUGCUCUAUGCUUUACAUAUUGCGUAGUUGCUUUACUUAUUGGAUUAUUUUAGUAACUAUGAGAUGGACGAAACCUUGAACUUUAUGAUUCUUCAAAUUACAGUUAUCUCAGUUGACCUUUCUGUUGUUUCAUUGUUGAUCCCAUUUGAUUCAGCUACCUAUAUGCCUAAUCUCCACUAGGUUUUGUGUUAGUUUAGUAAUAGGAUAUUUCUGAUGUUGCUGCAUGUGUUAGGUUACAUUUGUUUAGGAAAUUGUCAUGAAUGUUGACUUUUAGGAAACCUUUUACAAGUUACUUUGUUGGAAGAGUAAGCAAUGUGGCCUGGAGAAGGGCUGGCGUACUGGCAUUUGAAAAAGGAGCCUUAAUAGCUUGUUGUGUUACCACAGAAGCAUUAGUCUGAACUUUGCUGUGAUUAAUUUCAUGUUAAAUUAUUUUCCCUACAAUCUAAAGAUUGCCCAAUUAUUCUGCAAUUGAUCCAACUUUUGCUGGCUAUUAAUGUCCAUUCUAAGUUAUCUGCUUACUCAUGAUUGUCCUUUGCGCUAAGUGGAUGGCAACAACCCAUGCUUCAAGAGUCAAGACUGAGGAUAAGUUGUGGAACCUUUGGUGAUAGGAAGUGUAAGGGAGAUCACCAAGGAUCAUAGACAGCAAUAAUAGUUUGAUUGCCCAAUGGUUGAGAAUCUGGUAGUAUUUCUUGUUGCAAGGAAGGUGAGGGAUGGGGUGUUUUGUGAAGUAAGACAUUAUUAAUUAUGAAAAUACAUUUUCAUUUGAGGAAGUUAGCUGAAAUUGCAAUGUUUGACGUGACUAGGCCAUUAAAUUGAAGUGCGUGUGUGCUAUUUGAUGCAGGACGGCCUGCAGGUCUAAGAGUUAAGGC
rnacentral:misc_RNA from 1 species